rnacentral:lncRNA from 1 species
CACAUUUAAUUCUUAAAGCACAGGUUUAAUUAGGACUGCUGAAAAACUUACUUGUACUGAUUCAAUAUUUCCUUAAAAGCCCAAGGUCUUAGAGAUCCGCUUCCAGGUUAUAUCUGAUUUUACUUUCCCUUGGACUCGAGUCAGUUUGAGCUCCUUCCAAAGAAACGCUGCCUUUUAUGUCGCAUUGUCUUCACUCGUAGCAUUCUACUUGUCCUUCCCCAAAUCGCAGCACACAUAAAUCCUACAAACCCAUCAAGGUCCAGUUUCAGUGUCACAUGCUCCAUCAUCUCCCUACAAUUCACACAUACCUCUCAUCAGAUGUAGUGACUGUCUGUAUAACUGCCUAACAAAGGGAAGAAAAUGACAUCCACUGGAAAUCUACAUGCCAAACAACAUUCACCAUUCAGUUGUUUC